GAUCGCUGUGUGCGAUGAAAGUCGCCUGCAUGGUGAAGGCUCGAAUCGAAAGCUGCGAUGAUUUUAUCGUGGUAUAAGACGAGAAUAGCGAUUUUUUAGAACCAC
rnacentral:misc_RNA from 1 species